AGGUCAGGAGUAGUGCAGUUAAUCUUCUUAGUAAUCACAAGGUUCGACUGUUGGAACCGGGCAAAGUUCAACACAAGCACAAGUGAUUAUUUCUACAAGCGAGGGACAAGAGAGGUAAAGAGGCACCGAAAAAGAAACAUGAACCAACAAAAAGACAGGACGUAACAAACCCUUUGGACUUCUACAUGGAUUUCAAAGCUAAAUAUUUUCCACAUUUUAUCUCGGAAACUGCCGUCGUGAAACUUUAUGUGACACUGGCUGAAAGUUUUACUGUGAAGGAAACUAUGCAGUAACUCACCCACUGCCAGGAUUCAGCACCAAGUGUCAUUUUCAGCUGCAUUUUGAGAGAUCCUCUAAUCUGGGCCGUAUGGAGGUUCUGAGUGGCCCCUGGGCUGAUCUGGCUCUGCUCCUUCGACAGACAGUCACACAGACGUACACACAGACAGACGGACUGCUUCCCCUAUGGCUGUUUGUCAUAGUGCUGUUCCUGUCCAUCUGUCUGCUCCUCCUGCAACUGCUUAUAUAUCUGAACUGGAAACUCAGGCAGGUUGAGGCUGAUCUGUCCAGGAACCAGCAGGACAGAAGCGCCAUCUACAGGCCGGUGUCCAGAAGUUCACCCCUGAGGAAGAGGAGUGUGGGGUCACACUCAUACUCCUAAAACCCCUCUGCAUCAGUGGACUGUGGACAUUUCACACAUAAACUGUCCUCAGCAUGGAUUUAAAUGAUCUAGUCAUCAGCUGUGGUCUUAUGGGGACAUUUCCAGUUUAGGAUGCGACUUCAAAGGUUGGACUUAACACAGAUAGACCAAACAUCUAUGCAUUUUCAUCAACUUAUUAACAAGGAAACGAGGCGAACACAGAUUUCAGAGUAUAACAAUCCUUUAUUUAAACAGUGUUACACAGGGAAGGUGUGGCUGUGUGUGAGGAGACACGAGACAAAUAAGCUGCUAGAUAGAAAAAAAUCUACUGGUGAUCAUUGGUUGGCUAAGAGGAAACAAUGAGGCAGCUGGUUGGUUUUCCAAAAACUGUUCUUUUUGUAUAAAUUGUUCUUGUUUGUUUUUUUGAAGUGAGGGUUACUUUAUUUGACAAAAUCUAAAAAAAAAAAAAAAAAAAAGUGCUGUUUUCCUUGACUUUUAUCAUAUCUGAUGGAGGCAAACUGCACUCCGAAGCCUGAGAUAUGACAUGAACUACAUUGUUUACCUUUUAAAAUCAGUUUCUUCACAGAAAAAUAUCACAAUGUGAAUAUGUAGGCUCCAUUCUGAGAUCCCUGAAGGUUUUUUUUUUAAUCAGCUGGUGCAGAAGCAUCUUCUGUGGAGUUCUGUUCUUUGUUUCAAUAAAAAAAAUGUGUGGUUGUUGCAAAGCAUGUCUUUUUUUUUUUUUUUUUUAUGGUUGCCGAAGAAUAACCUCACAUCAAAUGGAUAAGAAAAAGCUACAAACAUUUUGGAAAACCUGAACUGGAAACCCCAAAGCUCCUGUGACUGGUUAAAAGAAGAGCCCCUAACAGCAGUCAAGCCCGAGGCUACGAGUACAAAAAGAAAAAGGAAGCGGAGGCAGAAAAUCUGAUUUGUAGGGAUAUUCCUUCAAUGUCAAAAACAUCGUGACAUUACAAAAAAUAAAAUAAAAUAAAAAAUAACCAAGAGGGGGUGCAACAUAUCCCACCUGUCAACAAACUACAUCAGUUUCACACAGAAGACAACAAAUGAUGAGAACAUCUACAAAUAUAGUUGUUAUAUAACCAGUGCUCAUUUAUUUUAGUUUUUUUGGAACAGCAAAAGCUUCCACAGCUGCCUAAUGUCGCACGGCUUGGUUGUCGUCAAAUUUAUUUUGCCUCUUCGCAACCUUCGAGGUUAAAGCUUCCUCAUGUGGAAUGUCAUUUUAAUGCAUAGUCGAGGUCAGACCGGUGUUUUCCCAUAGAAGCCUGAAGAGUCACAUUAAGAGGAACAUUAUCCUGAUGUGCUAUAGAUUAUAAAUCAGUACACUGCGGAAAGAGUGUGUUACUAAAGUCAUAAAUUAUUCUGUGGAUUUACAUUUAAAAUGUCCAGUCAGACAGGAGUAGAUUAAUCUGGGCAAGUGGAAUGUUUUGAUUUUUUUUUUUUUUUUUUUUUUUAAAUCAGCGGCACUUAAUUUUUAAUCAUCUUAAAUCUGGUAAAUAUGGUUUUUUUUGCUGCCUUCACUGAAAAGCACUACAAAACACAUUAGCACUUGUUCCAAUCCAUUUAACGCCACUUUUUUUUUUUUUUUUUUUUUUUUUACACAGAGUCACAGUUUUAGCUGAAUUUCUGAUGCAUUUUAAGCAAAGCAGCAGGAAACUGAUGAAAGAUUGCAAAGAUUUUUUAUUUCAGUGGCUCAAGAGCACUUCAACCCCUCUGAUUCACUUCCCUUUAGGCUGCACCAUAUUAUCGCGUCACAACCGUUUGUGUUUGUUGUGCUCGAAUGCAACUGAGUGUUUUGAUUUAAUUUGGUGGUUUAAGUUGAAGUGGAUUUCUGAUAUUUUCAGCAGGUCACAAACACAAAACAUGACGACAAUGCAGAGUAUUUGGUUCGGUGAAUCAAUUACAACACAGACGGUUUCAGGUCAAAGGUCAUCCACACAGACUGUAUGAGCGCGGAUGUGUUUGUCUACACAUUCUUAAACCAGUCGACGCAGUAGUCCUCUAUCUAGACUUACUUUAAGAUGCUCUUGUAAGA